rnacentral:rRNA from 1 species
UGGCGCUCGGAGCGGCCGCAAGGUCGCGCCGGCGUGCCGGAAGAUGACCAAACUUGAUCAUUUAGAGGAAGUAAAAGUCGUAACAAGGUUUCCGUAGGUGAACCUGCGGAAGGAUCAUUACCGAACGGUUUUCGUAACCGAAUCUCAGUCCCCAACUGAGUCUUAGUUCGUUCCUCCAGGGACGAACGUUCGAACGUUCCUCUUCCGAGGGGGUCCGGUUCUGGGGGUACCUGGUCCUGUCUUGCACGCCAGUGCGAGAGGGGUGCCUCUUCCGAGGCGCUAGGUUUAAUGAGAGGUCGUUCUAGCCUCCGCCCCCCCGAGAACCUCUCGGAGCACGUCUCUCUCGGAGUCGUGGGCUGCGAAGGGCCCCGGGCCUCCCCUGCCAUGGGAGCGUCCACUCCUUGAGGCGUGUUUAAAGUUGUGAAAAACCUUCGCACUCUUCUCCUCCGAGAAGGGUUGGUCUUUUACUCGUGUUUGGUUAUUCGAAAGAGACUUUGUUCUCUUUGAAAAGAAUCAGAGUACAACUCUGAGCAGUGGAUCACUUGGCUCACGGGUCGAUGAAGAACGCAGCCAGCUGCGAGACUUGGUGUGAAUUGCAGGACACAUUGAGCACUGAUUUUUCGAACGCACAUUGCGGCCUCGGUUCCUACCCGGGGCCUCGCCUGUCUGAGGGUCGGAUGAGACUUGCCGAAGGGGAACCUGUUCCCCUACUUGGUCGCAUCGGGUUUUUUUUUGAAAAACUCGUCGACCUAAGAGCAGAUCGAGAGAUCUCCAGUCCCGACGAGUUCGGCGGCCCGCGGCCGUGGAAUUCGCGCGUUCUAGAGACACGGAACCGCCAGCCGUCGGCGUCCCGUCGUCCUCGUCGUGGGACUUGUGAAAUGUCGAC